rnacentral:lncRNA from 1 species
UUUCCAAUUCCUCUUGGAAUUGAUCCAUUCCAUUCACUCAAUCUAAAGGAAUCCUACCUUGACUUACACUGAGUCCAAGCUGAUCCAUCUGAUCACAAGCCUACUCAUGUACUAGCCAUGUAGCGUCUCCCUUAGACUAACAUGAACAUUGCAUAUGCUCACCUAUUUUGAACGGCCACCAAGGGAUAACAUUUACCUCCAA